rnacentral:rRNA from 1 species
CAUCCUUGAUCGGAAGGUCUGGGUAAUCUUUUGAAACUUCAUCGUGCUGGGGAUAGUCCCUUGCAAUUUUUGGACUUAAACGAGGAAUUCCUAGUAAGCGUGAGUCAUCAACUCGCGUUGAUUACGUCCCUGCCCUUUGUACACACCGCCCGUCGCUACUACCGAUUGAAUGGCUUAGUGAAUCCUUCGGAUUGGCUUUUUUUUCUGGCAACAGAAUUUAAUCGCUGAAAAGUUGGGCAAACUUGGUCAUUUAGAGGAAGUAAAAGUCGUAACAAGGUUUCCGUAGGUGAACCUGCGGAAGGAUCAUUAAAAAAAUGGUACUCUAUUUGUGAGUGCAUUAAUAAUCCAUCCUACCCUUUGUGAAUUUGUUGUAUGAAAUAAUUUUUUUUUAAAAAAAAUUAUUGAAUGUCUUUCCCUGUUGAAAAGUUUGGUCGUAAGACUUGGAUUUUUCACAGGGGAUAGUCAAUAAUUUUUUUAAAAAGACCUUUUUUUAAAUAAAACUUUUUGUAUUCAUUUGUCUAAAAUUAUUUUUAUAAUAUAAAAACAACUUUUGACAAUGGAUCUCUUGGUUCUCGCAACGAUGAAGAACGCAGCAAAAUGCGAUAAGUAGUGUGAAUUGCAGAAUACGUGAAUCAUCGAAUCUUCGAACGCAUAUUGCAC